CAGUCGCCGCGGGAAUACGUAGGGUGCGAGCGUUAAUCGGAAUUACUGGGCGUAAAGCGUGCGCAGGCGGUUAUAUAAGACAGAUGUGAAGUCCCCGGGCUCAACCUGGGACCUGCAUUUGUGACUGUAUAGCUAGAGUACGGUAGAGGGGGAUGGAAUUCCGCGUGUAGCAGUGAAAUGCGUAGAUAUGCGGAGGAACACCGAUGGCGAAGGCAAUCCCCUGGACCUGUACUGACGCUCGUGCACGAAAGCGUGGGGAGCAAACAGGAUUAGAUACCCCUGUAGUCCCUGUCUCUUAUAC
rnacentral:rRNA from 1 species